rnacentral:lncRNA from 1 species
UUGGUUCAAGAUUUGGCAUUCAAAUUCAUUUAAAAUUCACAAUUGAAGGGAAAAGAAUUUACUCUUGAGAAUCAAGUUACAUAUACCAUUCUAAGGAGCCAAUUUCAUUACAAACAUCCAAUUUCAUUACAAAAGUCAAUAAUCAAAUUCUAUACAAAAAUUACAACAUUUGAUCUAGAGUUGACUUUUUGGUCAAAUAGUUGACCAAAGUCAAACUACCUAUCCUAAACCCUAUAUUACUUUUCCUUCAUCCUCAAAGUUCUCCCAUUCUUGUGCAUCCAAGUCUUCAAGACUUCUUCAUAUACCAUGACUUGCUAACUUCUUCAUGAUCCAUAUCUCAAUUCCAUGCCAACUGUGAAAUGUCAUACCAUGCCAAACUAAGUUGAAUUCCAUGAACAAUGCUCCAUAAACAACAACCCUGCACUCAUAGGAAGUAGUUAGCAUUAUGAUCAUAAUUCACACUUGCACAACUAAGAUUUAGCAUACUUACCAUUAACACACAUUUAAUGCAUACACACAUUAUUUACCAUACAUAUACACACAAUAUCAUACACAAGCCAACCUUAGCAUGACAAACACUUUCAAUCCAAAUUAGCAGCAACUAAACAACAAUUAACUUUAGCAUAACAUUGCAAAUCCAUUAACAUAAUAACAAUUCCUAACUCACUAACAAAUAUCAUCAUUUCUAAUGACCAAGCAUCAAUCCUAACCAAGACAACAAUUCAUUCUCCUAACAAUGGCCAUUCAAUAGCAUAACAGUUCCCACAUUUACCUCCAUUGACCCAUUUGCUUUUAAGAAUGCUUAACAAGUUGCUAACAACUCCAUUGCUUCAAAAAGAAAACUUUAUAACAGUCCAAGUUUCAUAGCAAUGCAAUGUUACAUAAUAGUCCAAGCAAUUAAAACAGUCAUAAUCAUUCACUUAACUUUUACUAAUUUCGAAACCAAUUAACACACCACCUAACGGUUAGGAUAUUCAAUCUAAUAUAACUAAUUGAUCGACAAACCAACUAACAAUCAUAACAAUCAACUAACCCUUUCCUAACAAUUCUAACAAAUCAACAUUCAUCUAACCAUUCAAAUUCAUUUAGCAAUUCAAGUAGAAUUAGUCUUCACAUCACUUCAAACUACUUUCCACUACAACAGUUCAAAUUAAACAAACUUCAUAGUGUUUCAAUUUAUUACUAAUAUUUCACAGUUCAAAAUCACAUCAAGCAGCUAUAUGUUUCCAAACUAGGUUCACAAACACAUCAACACAAUUCCAUAUCAUUUUAUACCUCAAUUGAUCAAUUUAUCCAACCAGUAUCCAUUAAAUUCCAUAUUCACCAUCAUACUAAUGUUUCAUACCAGUCCCAAAUAACUAAAUCUCCAACUCUAAUAGUCCCUACCAUAUAACUAAUGGUUUCACAACUAAUUCAAACUAACCUUCAACACUAACAUUCUUCUAACAGUUCAUAACAACAACUAACGCUCACCAAAAUCCAUUUAACAUCCUAACCGCUUUCAAUUCUCAAGCUAACUGAACUAACAACAAAAUUGACAGAGUUAACUCUUCUAACAAACUUUCUCUUUGAAUCCAACUAACUAAAUUAAUUUCCCAUAGAAGUCAACUCACACAUUCUAACCUCUUACUAACAAUUCUAAUUUCAACAUAAACUAACAAAUCCUUCUUGAUAUCACUUCUAACAUUACUAAUUUCCUCUUAAUUCACAGCAGUUCAUAACUUUAAAUUCACUAUUAGUUAACAGUUCAUCCUAACUGUCAAGAUUUCAAACAGAAUUUCAUAACAAUUCACUAACUAACAACCUAACUAACUAUAUUAACUGUUAAUUAACAGUUCACUAACAAAGUCAAACAACUUAACCAAUUUCCUCAUGAAAUCACUUCACCCUAACAACUACCCUAACUUUCGACAAACCCUACCCGAACUGACCUAAAUCGUUGCACUCUAAUUCAGUAUAUCUAAUCACAAUCCAUCUUCAAUCAUAGAAAGUGAUCACACUCUGCAAAAUUUUCGCUCUCAUCACUCUCUUUGCACUCAAUCUCUUUCUCCCACCACUCACCAAAAGCUCAAAGUUUCACCAUUAUUGAGCAAGCUCUUCCUUGAAGCUUUCCACAACAAGAGCUUAAACUCCUAAUUUAUACUCUCCAUACCUCACAUCAACAACAACAAUGAGUUUACUUCUUACAGACUACAUUCAAGGAAGAAGAAGAAGAAAUCAAAGUACAAAGCAAGGAAUUCAAAAAUUUACCUGGAUAUUCUAUGGUUUUCUUUAUUCUUCAACUUCAUCAUAUUCAUCCUCAGUAAGUUCCCAAGGCGAGCCACGGCCUUGUAGGUUGGUUCCGGUUACCAUAAUGUACUGUUUGAAUCUCUGAACCAAACCCCUAAGGUUUGAGUUUGGAUUAGUCCUCCAUUUUGAUUUAAUUUCAACUUUUAUGAUUUAGGGUUCUUCAAGGUUUUGGUUCGGUCUAGGAAUUUUGUUGAUCUUUAGAAAAAAAGAAUUCAAGAAUUAGGAAGAUGAGAGUGAGAGGCUUCGGUUAAUUGUGGUUAUGGACAUUUCUGGUUUACUCUGCUACUUGCAGCGUGGUGGAGCAAUUUUUGGUGUGGAAUAAGCUCAAGAGGGAGAGAGGAAGCAUGGUUGUCUUAGAAGUGGAAUUAUUUUAUCCUAAACUCUCUAAUCAUUCUUUUCCCCCACGUUCUUGGGCCUUGUCC